rnacentral:rRNA from 1 species
GCUUGCUGAUUUGCUGACGAGUGGCGGACGGGUGAGUAAUGUCUGGGAAACUGCCUGAUGGAGGGGGAUAACUACUGGAAACGGUAGCUAAUACCGCAUAACGUCGCAAGACCAAAGAGGGGGACCUUCGGGCCUCUUGCCAUCGGAUGUGCCCAGAUGGGAUUAGCUAGUAGGUGGGGUAACGGCUCACCUAGGCGACGAUCCCUAGCUGGUCUGAGAGGAUGACCAGCCACACUGGAACUGAGACACGGUCCAGACUCCUACGGGAGGCAGCAGUGGGGAAUAUUGCACAAUGGGCGCAAGCCUGAUGCAGCCAUGCCGCGUGUAUGAAGAAGGCCUUCGGGUUGUAAAGUACUUUCAGCGGGGAGGAAGGGAGUAAAGUUAAUACCUUUGCUCAUUGACGUUACCCGCAGAAGAAGCACUGGCUAACUCCGUGCCAGCAGCCGCGGUAAUACGGAGGGUGCAAGCGUUAAUCGGAAUUACUGGGCGUAAAGCGCACGCAGGCGGUUUGUUAAGUCAGAUGUGAAAUCCCCGGGCUCAACCUGGGAACUGCAUCUGAUACUGGCAAGCUUGAGUCUCGUAGAGGGGGGUAGAAUUCCAGGUGUAGCGGUGAAAUGCGUAGAGAUCUGGAGGAAUACCGGUGGCGAAGGCGGCCCCCUGGACGAAGACUGACGCUCAGGUGCGAAAGC